GAAACGACGAUUUUCUCUUCUCCAGGCUCCAGCGCCAGCAAUUCGAUUGUCAAACAGGACACAGGAGCAGGGCUCAACUGCGUGCGUCAAUUCUUUUUCUCUGAGCUAAAAUGGGUUUUCAUGUGAAUUGGAAAAUUAUUUUUAGAAUCUUGUAAAAUUUCAUAAAUCAUUUCUAAUUUUUUAUUAUUUUCCAUACAUAUAAUUAGAAUCAGCAAAACACUUUCUCGCUCGCAUUUUCCUGGAUUCUAAUUUCCAUCGUUCCUAAUCUCCAGUUGGUACUUAUUUAUCGAUUCGUGUUUGAUCUUUAUUCUUUUUCAAUUAUUAGUUCUGUUCAAGUUUAAGAUGUUGCAGUUUACGUUGGCCUAUUUCUGCGUGUUUCAUGGAGUUGUGUUCCAUUUUAUUGAUUCCAGGUUUUUUCGUCUUCUUGCAUUUUUCAUCUUCUCAAUCAUCUCUUUCUUGAGGGGUUUUUGUUCUAUCUCCGAGGUUUUUGAAGACUCAUUAACAUGGUAAGUUGUUUUGCUUAGCUUCUUCUUCUUCUUCUUCUUCUCCU
rnacentral:misc_RNA from 1 species